rnacentral:rRNA from 1 species
UACGUAGGUGGCAAGCGUUGUCCGGAUUUACUGGGUGUAAAGGGCGUGUAGCCGGGCUGACAAGUCAGAUGUGAAAUCCGGGGGCUCAACCCCCGAACUGCAUUUGAAACUGUUGGUCUUGAGUAUCGGAGAGGCAGGCGGAAUUCCUAGUGUAGCGGUGAAAUGCGUAGAUAUUAGGAGGAACACCAGUGGCGAAGGCGGCCUGCUGGACGGUGACUGACGCUGAGGCUCGAAAGCGUGGGGAGCAAACAGG